UACGUAGGUGGCAAGCGUUGUCCGGAGUUAUUGGGCGUAAAGCGCGCGCAGGCGGUGCGGUAAGUCUCUGGUGAAAGCGCUCGGCUUAACUGGGCGAGGGCCGGGGAGACUGCCACGCUGGAGGGGAGCAGAGGCGAGUGGAAUUCCGAGUGUAGAGGUGAAAUUCGUAGAUAUUCGGAAGAACACCAGUGGCGAAGGCGACUCACUGGACACGUAUUGACGCUGAGGUGCGAAAGCGUGGGGAGCAAACAGG
rnacentral:rRNA from 1 species